AGUGAACGCUGGCGGCGUGCCUAAUACAUGCAAGUCGAACGAAGUGGCGCACGGGCGAGGAAGAUAGAGUUAAUCUGCCCUACACAGAGGAACAACAGUUGGAAACGACUGCUAAUACCUCAGAGUGUAGGAUGAGACUAUAUCGUUUCAGCUAGUUGGUAAGGUAAUGGCUUACCAAGGCUAUGACGCGUAACUGGUCUGAGAGGAUGAUCAGUCACAUUGGAACUGAGACACGGUUCAAACGCCUACGGGAGGAAGCAGUAAGUAAUAUUGCGCAAUGGGUGAAACCCUGACGCAGCAACGCCGCGUGGAGGAUGACCCUUUUCGGAGCGUAAACUCCUUUUAUCAGGCCCGCGGUACCUGAUGACUCCGCACCGGCUAACUCCGUGCCAGCAGCCGCGUUCCUCC
rnacentral:rRNA from 1 species